UGGGGAAUAUUGGUCAAUGGGUGAGAGCCUGAACCAGCCAUGCCGCGUGCAGGAAGAAGGCCUUCUGGGUUGUAAACUGCUUUUGCCGGGGGAUAAAAUGGCUUUGCGAAGCUAAUUGAAGGUACCCGGUGAAUAAGCCACGGCUAACUACGUGCCAGCAGCCGCGGUAAUACGUAGGUGGCAAGCGUUGUCCGGAUUUAUUGGGUUUAAAGGGUGCGUAGGCGGUUCUUUAAGUCAGUGGUGAAAUACAGCCGCUUAACGGUUGAGGUGCCAUUGAUACUGAAGAACUUGAGUACAGACGAGGUAGGCGGAAUUGACGGUGUAGCGGUGAAAUGCUUAGAUAUCGUCAAGAACACCGAUAGCGAAGGCAGCUUACUAGACUGUAACUGACGCUGAGGCACGAAAGUGUGGGGAUCAAACAGGAUUAGAUACCCCCGUAGUCCCUGAG
rnacentral:rRNA from 1 species